rnacentral:rRNA from 1 species
UACCAGCUCUCCGAGUGGUAGGGAUGAUUAUUGGGCUUAAAGCGUCCGUAGCCGGCUUAGCAAGUCUCCUGUUAAAUUCAGCGACCUAAUCGUUGAGCCGCGGGAGAUACUACUAGGCUAGGAGGCGGGAGAGGUCAACGGUACUUCCGGGGUAGGGGUGAAAUCCUAUAAUCCCGGGAGGACCACCAGUGGCGAAGGCUGUUGACUAGAACGCGCUCGACGGUGAGGGACGAAAGCUGGGGGAGCGAACCGGAUUAGAUACCCGGGUAGUCCCAGCUGUAAACGAUGCGAGCUAGGUGUUGGGGUGGCUACGUGCCACUUCAGUGCCGCAGGGAAGCCAUUAAGCUCGCCGCCUGGGGAGUACGGCUGCAAGGCUGAAACUUAAAGGAAUUGGCGGGGAGCACCACAAGGCGUGAAGCUUGCGGUUC